AAGCCUGAUCCAGCCAUGCCGCGUGAGUGAAGAAGGCCUUCGGGUUGUAAAGCUCUUUCGGCGGGGACGAAAUGGUUCGUGCUAAUACCACGGACUGAUGACGGUACCCGCAGAAGAAGCACCGGCUAACUACGUGCCAGCAGCCGCGGUAAUACGUAGGGUGCAGGCGUUAAUCGGAAUUACUGGGCGUAAAGCGUGCGCAGGCGGUUUGUUAAGACAGAUGUGAAAUCCCCGGGCUUAACCUGGGAACUGCGUUUGUAACUGGCAGACUGGAGUGUGGCAGAGGGGGGUGGAAUUCCAAGUGUAGCAGUGAAAUGCGUAGAUAUUUGGAGGAACACCGAUGGCGAAGGCAGCCCCCUGGGCUAACACUGACGCUCAUGCACGAAAGCGUGGGGAGCAAACAGGAUUAGAUACCCUGGUAGUCCACGCCCUAAACUAUGUCAACUGGUUGUCGGGGAAGCAAUUCCUUGGUAACGAAGCUAACGCGUGAAGUGACCGCC
rnacentral:rRNA from 1 species